GGUGAAGAUUUAAUCAGGAACUGGUGUU
rnacentral:piRNA from 1 species